AUAUAUAAUAACAAACAAUAUGAGCUUUUGGAGUAUUCGAUGUAAGUAU
rnacentral:guide_RNA from 1 species